rnacentral:rRNA from 1 species
GAUGAACGCUGGCGGCGUGCCUAAUACAUGCAAGUCGAGCGAACAGACGAGGAGCUUGCUCCUCUGACGUUAGCGGCGGACGGGUGAGUAACACGUGGAUAACCUACCUAUAAGACUGGGAUAACUUCGGGAAACCGGAGCUAAUACCGGAUAAUAUAUUGAACCGCAUGGUUCAAUAGUGAAAGACGGUUUUGCUGUCACUUAUAGAUGUAUCCGCGCCGCAUUAGCUAGUUGGUAAGGUAACGGCUUACCAAGGCGACGAUGCGUAGCCGACGUGAGAGGGGGAUGGGCCACACUGGAACUGAGACACGGUCCAGAAUCCUACGGGAGGCAGCAGUAGGGAAUCGACGGCAAUGGGCGAAAGCCUGAAGGAGCAACGCCGCGUGAGUGAUGAAGGUCUUCGGAUCGUAAAACUCUGUUAUUAGGGAAGAACAAAUGUGUAAGUAACUAUGCACGUCUUGACGGUACCUAAUCAGAAAGCCACGGCUAACUACGUG